AGUGAACGCUGGCGGUAGGCCUAACACAUGCAAGUCGAACGGCAGCACAGUAAGAGCUUGCUCUUACGGGUGGCGAGUGGCGGACGGGUGAGGAAUACAUCGGAAUCUACUUUUUCGUGGGGAUAACGUAGGGAAACUUACGCUAAUACCGCAUACGACCUACGGGUGAAAGCAGGGGAUCUUCGGACCUUGCGCGAUUGAAUGAGCCGAUGUCGGAUUAGCUAGUUGGCGGGGUAAAGGCCCACCAAGGCGACGAUCCGUAGCUGGUCUGAGAGGAUGAUCAGCCACACUGAAACUGAGACACGGUCCAGACUCCUACGGGAGGCAGCAGUGGGGAAUAUUGGACAAUGGGCGCAAGCCUGAUCCAGCCAUACCGCGUGGGUGAAGAAGGCCUUCGGGUUGUAAAGCCCUUUUGUUGGGAAAGAAAAGCAGCAGGUUAAUACCCCGCUGUUCUGACGGUACCCAAAGAAUAAGCACCGGCUAACUUCGU
rnacentral:rRNA from 1 species